ACUGUUCACCAUGGAAUGACAUUGUGUUGAACAAGCUGCGUGGCUCCAGAGAUGAUAGCAUCGCACUCUUCAAGCCCUGUCACCCAGAAUGCUUCCAUAACUGCAGCUAGAGCAGAGCCUCCAGAGCCCAGAAUUAGACCUAGGAGCAAUCUACCUUCUCCAGCACGGUUGUUUCCUGUAAGAACGGCAGAAAGAAGGAUCCAAUCCCGUAGCCAGCAAAGGCAGUUCAUGGAUUCCCGUUUUUGCCUGGACCAGGGCUCCACGUCUGUAGCACAGCUGAUGACACUGCCUCCUCGUCUUCGAGCAAAUGCUCAAAGAAUUACUGUCCUAGAUUAUGGUUGGCUGCUCUUCUAGAGCCUUCAAGGCAGAUAUAGAAGAACUUGCAUGGAUUUGCGAUAACGAUGCCCCCAGAUGUUAUCUGAGGGACUACGAGAGCAUUUAUCAAAUAAUGGAACAAGCAAACCAAAAGAACGUGUUUUCUCUUAAUAUUGGGCAAGUAGGGAAUGUAUCUCUCAUACUGGAAGGAACGUUCCCGUAAAGCUACCGACGGGAAGACUGCCUUUUGGAGAGACACUAUCCACGAGCAGACCCCAUAGGCUCACGUGCCUGAUGGUAGUUGUCCCUUGCACUCACGUUGGCCUUUUCUUAGCAAACGUCUAAGUUUUUGUGUGCUUGUAUAGCUUACGCAACCCCUCUCCUCUUUGCUGGACAUCCUGAAUGUCCAGUUGGGUGAAUAUUUGUACACUUGGAAGAGGAAAAUAGAUCUCCUCACACAAUCGGCACCAUGAAACUCAUGCCAGUUCACAGUGGGAUGCUGCCUACUGCCCAGAAUGUGGCUGAAAUCCAAAUAACGGGAUGUGAUAUUUUUGAUGAUGGAGACAAGGACAAGCCCCUGAAGCUCGAUACCCCACUUACGUAUAGUGUACAACUACACCAACGCUUCAGUAUCAUAAGAUGUAGGAGGGGCCCAUGGUCAGUGCCCUCAGCAAAACCUAGGCCCAGCUGGAUGCUAGGCCUCGUACUGCUGGAAUGUUACAUUUCCCGGCGGGGGGCGUUUGGGCAGCUAU